ACGAACGCUGGCGGUAUGCUUAACACAUGCAAGUCGAACGAAGAAUGGUUUCGGCCAUUACUGAGUGGCAGACGGGUGAGUAACACGUAGGAAUCUACCCCUCGGUGGGGAAUAACUGUGGGAAACUGCAGUUAAUACCGCAUAAGCUUGGCGACAAGGAAAGAUUUAUCGCCGAGGGAGGAGCCUGCGCUAGAUUAGGUAGUUGGUAGGGUAAUGGCCUACCAAGCCUGUGAUCUAUAGCUGGUCUGAGAGGAUGAUCAGCCACACUGGGACUGAGACACGGCCCAGACUCCUACGGGAGGCAGCAGUGGGGAAUAUUGGACAAUGGGGGAAACCCUGAUCCAGCAAUACCGCGUGGAUGAAGAAGGCCUUCGGGUUGUAAAGUCCUUUCGGCUGUGAAGAUAAUGACGGUAACAGCAAAAGAAGUCCCGGCUAACUCUGU
rnacentral:rRNA from 1 species